AAUAACCAAUUAUAACACUUGAACUAAGAGUCAAGUUGGUAAUUUCUCUUACAUCUCCCCCUCUCGGAGCCUAGGUAUCGUAUACGCCCCCAAAAUAAAGAGCCUUGAAUACUAGAAGAAAAGCGCCUAUACCUGACAUCUAAAACCA
rfam:Gossypium hirsutum cultivar TM-1 chromosome 20, whole genome shotgun sequence